rnacentral:rRNA from 1 species
CCUACGGGAGGCAGCAGUGAGGAAUAUUGGUCAAUGGACGAGAGUCUGAACCAGCCAAGUAGCGUGAAGGAUGACUGCCCUAUGGGUUGUAAACUUCUUUUAUAAAGGAAUAAAACGAGGCACGUGUUCCUUUUUGCAUGGACUUUAUUAAUAAUGAUCGGCUAACUCCGUGCCAGCAGCCGCGGUAAGACUGAGGAUCCGAGCGUUAUCCGGAUUUAUUGGGUUUAAAGUGAGCGUAGAUGGGUUGUUAAGUCAGUUGUGAAAGUUUGCGGCUCAACCGUAAAAUUGCAAAUGAUACUGGCAGUCUUGAGUACAGGUGAGGUAGGCGGAAUUCGCGGUGUAGCAGUGAAAUGCUUAGAUAUCACGAAGAACCCCGAUUGCGAAGGCAGCUUACUAAACUGUGACUGACAUUGAUGCUCGAAAGUGUGGGUAUCAAACAGGAUUAGAUACCCCUGUAGUC